UAACAAUAUAAAAACCUAGCCAAGCAUAUCGUUGAAAUUAAACAGACAAAGGAUAAAAAAAUCAUCAACAAAAAUUGGUAGAACGUGAGUAAUUCCUUCCCUUUUGUAUUCCAACCGCCAGUUCCUUCCUCUGCAUUUUUUUUGUUGUGUAUAUUAUUUUUAUAACUUCGGUAGCAAACAGCCCUUUAUGAGUUCCUCCAACAGCUACAAUGUUUGACUCGAAAAACCUUCAAUUCCUCUCCAAUUUCUGUUGAAUGAAUCUAUAAAAAUCAGUCCCCAAGGUCGCCCUUUUUAUCUCCAGAAACUGCCUUUUUUUCCCUCAAAAACAGCCGCAAUGUUCACUUAAUUUUUCCCCACUUGACUGUCGUUUCUGGUGCAUUUAUGUAUCAAUUCAACACCUCCUUGUGCCUAAAAUUUGCUGCCAAAACCAGCCCCCUUUAUGCUAAAGCGUAGCCGUCAACUAUUUCUCUGUAAAUGUCUAUGAUUCAGCAAAAAGUGGCAGCCCCAAUGCUUGUGUAAAUAUACAAUAAUGCAACACUUUUUCUGAUUUUUAAUGAAUAUAUUUCCAGCAGGCAGCUCGUUUCCUCUUCUUCUUCAAUUUGCUGCAAUUGUGACUUAAAAAUCCAACAAAUUAGCCGCCCAAUGUGUUUUUAAUGUAUAUAAAUUCCAGCGGGCAGCUCGUUUCUUUAUCUUCAAUUGCUCCUCGUGUUUGCCAAUGUGUUUCUAUAUAUAUUAUAUGAGAGCAGCCAACAAACCAAUUCUUGAAUAUAUUUCUUCCAAAGUUCCCCAGUAGCUG
rnacentral:lncRNA from 1 species